AGAGUUUGAUCAUGGCUCAGGACGAACGCUGGCGGCGUGCUUAACACAUGCAAGUCGAACGGAAAGGCCCUUCGGGGUGCUCGAGUGGCGAACGGGUGAGUAACACGUGGGUGAUCUGCCCUGCACUUUGGGAUAAGCCUGGGAAACUGGGUCUAAUACCGAAUAUGACUACAUGCUUCCUGGUGUGUGGUGGAAAGCUUUUGCGGUGUGGGAUGGGCCCGCGGCCUAUCAGCUUGUUGGUGGGGUAAUGGCCUACCAAGGCGACGACGGGUAGCCGGCCUGAGAGGGUGACCGGCCACACUGGGACUGAGAUACGGCCCAGACUCCUACGGGAGGCAGCAGUGGGGAAUAUUGCACAAUGGGCGCAAGCCUGAUGCAGCGACGCCGCGUGAGGGAUGACGGCCUUCGGGUUGUAAAGCCUCUUUCAGCACAGACGAAGCGUGAGUGACGGUAUGUGCAGAAGAAGACCG
rnacentral:rRNA from 1 species